AUUGAACGCUGGCGGCAUGCUUUACACAUGCAAGUCGGACGAGUGGCGAACGGGUGAGUAACGCAUCGGAACGUACCGAGUAAUGGGGGAUAACUGUCCGAAAGGACAGCUAAUACCGCAUAUUAUUCGAGCGGCCGAUGUCUGAUUAGCUGGUUGGCGGGGUAAAGGCACACCAAGGCGACGAUCAGUAGCGGGUCUGAGAGGAUGAUGUGCCACACUGGGACUGAGCCACGGCCCAGACUCGUACGGGAGGCGGCAGUGGGGAAGUUUGGACAAUGGGCGCGAGCUUGAUCAAGCCAUGCCGCGUGUCUGAAGAAGGCCUUCGGGUUGUAAGGGACGUGUGUCAGGGAAGCGGUAGCGGAAGAAGAAGCACCGGCUGACUACGUGCCAGCAGCCGCGGUAAUAC
rnacentral:rRNA from 1 species